rnacentral:tRNA from 1 species
UCUGCCGUAAUGUAGUUCGGCGAUCGUCGCCCCGGUCUACGGAACCGAAGGUUACAGGUUCGAAUCCUGUCGGGUGUA